GAUGAACGCUGGCGGCGUGCUUAACACAUGCAAGUCGAGCGAACGGACGAGAAGCUUGUUUCUCUGUUGUUAGCGGCGGACGGGUGAGUAACACGUGGAUAACCCACCUAUAAGACUGGGAUAACCUCGGGAAACCGGAGCUAAUACCGGAUGAUAUCUUGAACCGCAUGGUUCAAAAGUGAAAGUCGGUCUUGCUGUCACUUAUAGAUGGAUCCGCGCUGCAUUAGCUAGUUGGUAAGGUAACGGCUUACCAAGGCAACGAUGCAUAGCCGACCUGAGAGGGUGAUCGGCCGCACGAGAGCGGGGACGCGGUCCAGACUCCUGCGGGAGGCAGCAGUAGGGAAUCUUCCGCAGUAGGCGGGAGCCUGACGGAGCGGCGCCGCGUGAGUGAUAGAGGUCUUCGGAUCGUGAAACUCUGUUAUUGGGGAAAAACAGAUGUGUAAGGAGCUGUGCACAGCUUGACGGUACCUAAUCAGGAAGCCACGGCUAACUACGUG
rnacentral:rRNA from 1 species